CAAAUGUGUAAUAGCUAUAAUAUAGUCCGAAGAAUUCUAGUAUUCUGCUAACUUAAUGGAAUCAACACGUAGUGUGGGAAAGCAAAUCGUCAUCAGACCUUGAGUGACAAAACUAAAUUAUAACAUUGGCUUCAACGAUAGACAAUCAAAUAGUGCUAUAAUUUUGAAAAUCCACAAGAAAUAAUUUAAAGAAAAGAAGAAGCAAAUCAAGGUCGAUUUAAAAAGUGGGCAACAUGAUUCUGGGGUAAUUGUAUCGCCUAAAUGGGACCACUACCUUCUACUUUCGGGAGACCGGAGACAUCAUAUAAUUGUACAAAAGAUCAGGUGAUAACUAUACAAACGAAGUUAAGAAGCUAUAUAUGAAGUUAUAUAGCUUAGUCUUAGGGCACUCAAGCCACUCUCAGAAAAUGGUUAUCAUUGAGUCCCCAUAUGUGACAAUAUAAGACUAUGACAUGCAAAUCAAAGAAGUUACUACAAUAAACUACAUUUCAAUGUCCUCGAACUUUUUUAAUGUUUUGCAUUUCUGCACCAUAGUCGAUGGUUUUGCAAUGGCAUAACAUGCCGCACGAAUAGAUGGUGCACUAUGGUGCUUAGAAAAUCCACCACCGAUUCCUCUCAAACUUAGUCCACGCUGCUGAUCUACUAGCAUGUGCGGCAAACAUGUUGAGACUGACUCAGAAAUUGUUCGUCUAGAGAAUUCCCAUGGGGUUGCCGUUAAUCGAAUUGUUAAUUUGACAGAAUCAACUAUUGCUUCUGAAAACGAUAAAGGAUGCAUUAAGGUGAAGUUGGUUUAUUAAUUUUUUUCCUGACCAAAGAAGGAUAAGUUAAUUAGAGAAUAUGAAGAUAUAAAUCUUUUUUCUUCAAAUUUGGAUUUUUCGAGUUAAUAGUGAAAUAGUCAACAUUUUAUCAUUCAAAUUGUACAGUGUUUGAUACUUGUUUUUUUUUCUCAUUACACUAUUUUAGAUUGUUUCAUUUACUAUUUUAGAAAGUAGAAACAGUUUUGAGGUGCACACUAUACAAAGGUUGAACAAGUUUGAGGUGCACACUAUACAAAGGUUGAACAGACACCACUAUUAUUUUUGUAAAAAGGAAGUAGCAAAAGUUGGUCUGCCUUAUGCAUUUUCUCAAUUCCAUCAUUAUAAUUUACUAUGCUUUUGCCAGCAACUCUUGAUGCAUGGAACCAUAAAAUUUCUUAUUCUGUGAACAGGAUUUUUGAGGAAGGAACAAAAACUUGAAGUGUUUAAGGCUUCAAGCCUCUGUGCCUUAUAUCUCAAUAGUAUAGUGCAUGUGUAAAUAUCUCCUUCAUGUUCUUCAUAAAGAAAAUUGCCCCUUCAUGUUCAUGGACUGUUGUUCACUCUUG